CCUACGGGACGCACCAGUGGGGAAUAUUGGACAAUGGGCGAAAGCCUGAUCCAGCAAUGCCGCGUGUGUGAAGAAGGUCUUCGGAUUGUAAAGCACUUUCGACGGGGACGAUGAUGACGGUACCCGUAGAAGAAGCCCCGGCUAACUUCGUGCCAGCAGCCGCGGUAAUACGAAGGGGGCUAGCGUUGCUCGGAAUGACUGGGCGUAAAGGGCGCGUAGGCGGUGAAUCGGGUUGAAAGUGAAAGUCGCCAAAAACUGGCGGAAGACUCUCGAAACCAAUUCACUUGAGUGAGACAGAGGAGAGUGGAAUUUCGUGUGUAGGGGUGAAAUCCGGAGAUCUACGAAGGAACGCCAAAAGCGAAGGCAGCUCUCUGGGUCCCUACCGACGCUGGAGUGCGAAAGCAUGGGGAGCGAACGGGAUUAGAUACCCGGGUAGUC
rnacentral:rRNA from 1 species